rnacentral:rRNA from 1 species
GAUGAACGCUGGCGGCGUGCUUAACACAUGCAAGUCGAACGGUGAACGAGGGAGCUUGCUCCCUCCGGAUCAGUGGCGAACGGGUGAGUAACACGUGAGCAAUCUGCCCUGGACUCUGGGAUAAGCGUUGGAAACGACGUCUAAUACCGGAUACGAGGCGUGGGGGCAUCCCCAACGCCUGGAAAGAACUUCGGUCCAGGAUGAGCUCGCGGCCUAUCAGCUAGUUGGUGAGGUAACGGCUCACCAAGGCGACGACGGGUAGCCGGCCUGAGGGGGUGACCGGCCACACUGGGACUGAGACACGGCCCAGACUCCUACGGGAGGCAGCAGUGGGGAAUAUUGCACAAUGGGCGCAAGCCUGAUGCAGCAACGCCGCGUGAGGGACGACGGCCUUCGGGUUGUAAACCUCUUUAGCAGGGAAGAAGCGAAAGUGACGGUACCUGCAGAAAAAGCACCGGCUAACUACGUGCCAGCCGCCGCCGUAACAC